UGGUUCAACGCCUCCCUGUGUGUUUGGCUCCUAAGGUAGACGCCAAAACAGAGACGUGAGGACUUUACCAGAUCUUUUACACAAUCGAUUUCAACUUUCACACACAAUGGCAGUUAGUUUAUCGUGUACAUUUUGAGAUUUUUUGUUUCGCAUUUUUAUUGUAAUGAGUAACAAUACAUACCUGCGUUUUGUCUUCUUUUACAGCUUCUUUUUCUUUUUCAUCUGUUCUUUCUUGACUUUCCGAUUCACCUUCUUCUUUUAUUUCAACCAAGUCGCCAUUCUUCGCUUUCUUGUUUUUCUUCUCUUUCUUUUUCUUUUCUUUCUUUUGUUUUGGUUUAGCUACGGGCCGUUGAUCAAGAUCCUCAUCUGCAGCGGCUAUUUCUUUUGAA